AAUAACGAAAUAUUAUGGACUCAAAAGCAGCGCCUUUGUUAAACCCAAGCAGUUGGGUUAGUUUGCUAUGUACAAGCUGCUUGCGUUAGCAAGCAAGCGCCAAGCUAGCAAUUCAGCUGGAAAGCUCAGACGGGUUUAGCAUCCGGGCAACUUCCUUCGACUAUAACAAUGAUAAUAAUUUAAACUUAAGUGGCACAUUUAAAUAAUUCAACUAUUCAUUUGGGCGAAAAGCGAUUGAAUGCAAGCCUUGAAGACCAAGACAUGAAGGAAUCCGCCCGCGCGGCUGUACCAAUCCCUGAGAAGGAACAGGUUGAGGGACAGCCCAACAGACCAAUCGUCUUGGAGUGAUUGUCUGAUUGAAAUGUAUUAAACCAGUCCUAAAAGAA